UCCUUCUCAAGAUCACACCUGGAGAGUUUCCAGUACUCUACCAGUCAUGGCUAUGAGAGGCACAGUCAAUCAAAGGCAUACCCAUUCCAUUCCUAGCUUUGGCAGUGGCUAGUGAGUGGGAGGCAAUCUGCUACAAGG